rnacentral:rRNA from 1 species
CAUGUGGCAUUCGAGUGGCGGACGGGUGAGUAACGCGUGGGUAACCUGCCUUACACAGGGGGAUAACACCUGGAAACAGGUGCUAAUACCGCAUAAGCGCACAGGGCCGCAUGGCCCGGUGUGAAAAACUCCGGUGGUGUAAGAUGGACCCGCGUCUGAUUAGCUUGUUGGCGGGGUAGGGGCCCACCAAGGCGACGAUCAGUAGCCGGCCUGAGAGGGUGGACGGCCACAUUGGGACUGAGACACGGCCCAAACUCCUACGGGAGGCAGCAGUGGGGGAUAUUGGACAAUGGGGGAAACCCUGAUCCAGCGACGCCGCGUGAGUGAAGAAGUGUUUCGGUAUGUAAAGCUCUGUCAGCAGGGAAGAAAGAAAUGACGGUACCUGACCAAGAAGCCCCGGCUAACUACGUGCCAGCAGCCGCGGUAAUACGUAGGGGGCAAGCGUUAUCCGGAAUUACUGGGUGUAAAGGGAGCGUAGACGGUGAUGCAAGUCUGGAGUGAAAGGCGGGGGCCCAACCCCCGGACUGCUCUGGAAACUGUGUAACUUGAGUGCAGGAGAGGUAAGCGGAAUUCCUAGUGUAGCGGUGAAAUGCGUAGAUAUUAGGAGGAACACCAGUGGCGAAGGCGGCUUACUGGACUGUAACUGACGUUGAGGCUCGAAAGCGUGGGGAGCAAACAGGAUUAGAUACCCUGGUAGUCCACGCCGUAAACGAUGAUUACUAGGUGUCGGUGGGUAU